UACGGAGGGUGCAAGCAUUGAUCGGAAUUACUGGGCGUAAAGGGCGCGUAGGCGGCAAAACAAGUCGGAUGUGAAAUUCCGGGGCUCAACCCCGGAGCUGCAUUUGAAACUAUUUAGCUAGAGUUCAGUUAGGGUAAACGGAAUUCCACGUGUAGCGGUGAAAUGCGUAGAUAUGUGGAAGAACACCGGUGGUGAAGACGGUUUACUGGGCUGAUACUGACGCUGAGGCGCGAAGGCCAGGGGAGCAAACGGG
rnacentral:rRNA from 1 species